CGCCCAGCCGUGUCGCCCGUCGCGAGCCCCCCCUCGUCCACCCGCCGGCCCCCACCUACCCUCUCCUCGGCGCAUAGCUGCGGACUGACGGUUUUCCCGGAGGUUCCUUGUUGUCAGGUCACGUUGUGCCCCUCCGCCACUUGCGACCGGGCUUUCCCGUGCACCGCACCCGCAGCAGGGACACACAACUGCGGGGUGCUCCCGCGCCAGCAGCCGCGGCCCCCAUUGGAUCUCUCGACGCCAAAUCUCGACGCUGCGUCCGCACGCCACCCUGGCGGCGCGUCGGAGCAGCUCGCGGGCCAGGGGAACAGAGGCAGACGCGUCAGGCCGGGACCUUCCGGAAUCUGUCAGAAAAAAACAAAUCAGUUGAAAGCCCCAGGACAAUUAUUUUACCCAUCUCCAGUUUUUUGAAGAGAGGAGUGCAAGAUAUUGGAUUCAUAUUUUGUGCUGUAGUAGCGGAACAUGUAAGUUUGUUGGAAAUGUUUUGUGUUUUUUUUUGAAGCCGCUGCCAUUUUCUUUUUGCAAUGAAUAAAUAGUGGAUCUGCUUCGAGUGUCUGUAGGAAAUUUCCUGACAGUCCAUCCCUGAGUUGUUGAGAUAUUUCCGUCUGUGAUGAGCAGAGUCUUAAAGUGAGCGUGGAUAAAAAAAAGAAAAAAUGUUAUUACAUCUUAUGCAAAAGACAAACUCUUGGAGUAGAGAUCCACAUCUGUGGAAAUUAAACUUGUCACAAAUUCCCGGUCAGCAAGGUUUUCACAGCAGGUCGAAGUCAGGCCAUGCAUGCUGACUAAACCUCUAUACGAUCACUCAUAUUAAAGAGGCAUGUGGUGUUUAUGCUCUAGGAGAGAAAUAACAUCUUCAUAUGCAUAUAAACAUAAAGAAAAAAGAAACCAUGAACGCUCAAGGACGCCUUUCAGCAUGUGGAGGGCAUGAAAACAGAUCCAGAGAUAAUUAUCAAUAAAAAGACUCACACAGUGUGUGUGUGUGUGUGUGUGUGUGUGUGCGCGUGUGUGUGUGUGUGUGUGUGUGUGUGUGUGCGCGUGUGUGUGGCAGACAUGAUUGUUGGCCCUCAGACGGAGAACAUCUGACAGUAUCCCCAUGUCAUCCAUCAUGGCUGUGCAGAGCAGUGCAGUGAACACCUGAUGAAAUCUCACAGAGCUUCAGGUGCCUUCGCUUCGGAUGCCGGGCAAGAAGAAGUUUCGCAAAAUGUGUAUAAAUGUGUGAAAUGUGCGACGUUCAGCUUCCAAAUUUAAGUUGGAGAUUUUCCUAAGUGUGAAUCUUCUCGCUUAAAGCCGGAAUCCGCUCGAGCUGAAGGAUCUCUUGAGGCCCCCGACUUUGUGCGGCGUAUGUGGAUUUGACGUUUAAUCGGCGGAGCAGAAGGUGGAAAAAGACGUCGUUGACUGCGUUCACUGAGAGAUCUGACGCCCCUGCACUGAUCCCUGGUGAGGAAAAUCACUUUGCUCGCUGCCAGCGAAGAAACGCGGGGCUCCUCGGGAAAAAA
rnacentral:lncRNA from 1 species